rnacentral:lncRNA from 1 species
AUCCUCAGGGACUCGACACCCCCCUCCGGCUGAGCCUGAAGCACCCACUCCCCUCCCUGAGGCACAUGACUGUGGAACAGCUAUUGGGAAUUGUCACCUCGGGACAGGAGGGCUUUGACCGGGCCUUCCUAUAGGAGGCCCUGUUGGAGCGCAUGAAGGAGGACGGCCCCGAGGUGGUGGCUGCAACUUUGAAGGCUCUGGAGGUGAGUGGCUGGAACAUUAGACUUUCAGGUACGUUCAUAUUGGAAUCUACUAGGAUUAAACCUAACUCAUCCUAUAUAUCCUCCUCAGCUCUUUCUUGAUCGAGAGGACACUGUUUCAUGUCUACUCACUGCUGCCAUGCGUAGACCUCUCAAAGGCUGGGAACUGGUUAGUACUGUUCUCACCUUUUGAAAUGUACAUCAAUCCCCAGGUAUCUCCGUAUCCAUAGUAUGAUAGUGAAUGGGUUCUAUGUGCUUCCUCAUAGGUGUCCACAGUCGGAGGCAGUGAGGGUUCUGGAGGAACCCAGACUGGUUGAGGGGAUCUCUGACCUGAGGGCCCGUGUCGUCAGGAUCUAUUGCCCUUCCUUGUGGUCAUCUCGGCCCUGCCGGACUCCCCAGACCUCCAGAUGGCUACUUGUGUGGCCCAGUCUCCACCCUCUUAUACCAGCACCACCGCACUCAGGGCUGGGCCCACGUUAAACACAUAAGACCAUGUAGUUUUACAAUAAAGCACUCAAGGACGUGAUGGAGAGGAUUUCUCAGCCAACCAGCAUCUCAACACAGACCAAGAACCUGUCUAACAUGGACCCCUUCUCCAAACGCACUGCUAUGAGUGAUUAGUAAACAUUUGUUGGUGUAUCCAAAGUACCAUUUGAAACAAACCUGCCUUGCUUUCCUGAAACUGAUAUGAUGAUUUUUGGAUCUCUCUGCGGCCUAGCUCAGCUGGUUGAAGCUGGCUGGUGUGGUAGCGGUCCAGCGGGGCAGCCUGUGGGAGAGGGCAGUGUUCAUGGUGCCGAGCCAGACCCUAAUGCAGGGCCUGGGGGACGUGAGUGAGACCCAGGACCUCCACACCGCCCAUUGUGUCUACUCCCUGCCGGAGCCUUCAAUGCUGGAACUUACCCAGAAAGACAUGCCUCAGCAGGAGGAUAUUCAUGGAAGAGUACCUGUAGAGGGCAGGGCAGAGAGACAGCGUAUGAGGUGCUGCUGGUGUCACUGCUUAGAGGACUCUUAUCCAGUCUCAAGUGCCACGACGCUUCCUUCAAAAAUGUUCCUUUUUCGAAAGCAAUUGGCUGCAUAUUGUUUUUCAUCAUGUUCAAGUAAAGGCCUGGAUAUCACCAGUUACUUUAGCCACUUGGUCACACACUGAGUAAGAAGGAAGGAGGCUGACAGACGGCUUGCUUCCUGUCUGGAUUUCCUGUCAAGUGAGACAUGGUGGAACCCAGAGAAGCUGGACACCAACACGUGCUGCUACCGCCGACUGCUGUGUCGUGUGUUUGAUGUCAUCGUCGCUGGGGCACGCCAGGGGCCCAUUGCAGCCAGCUUCAGGGCCCUGAUGACGCUACUUUUCUAGGUACUGAAACUUGAUAUGUUACACAAUGGAUUUCAGUGCAAAGACGGAUGCUUCACUCAACUCAUUGGCGCAUAGCAUCACUCGAAGGAUAGUCCAUCGUUCCUCUAGGUAUGCUACAAUAUAACGAUGAUGAUAAUCCAUGUAAGGUAAAGUGUGUUAGGAAGUAGGCGAAACAAAGCAAUCUCCCGUUUCUUUUACGAUCAACUGUCUCACUUUGUCCACAUUAUUCCAUUCCUCAACCCCCUCCAUUAGUCCCAGGUCCACCUGAGUGAUCCCCUUGAGCUCUUCAAGUUCCUGUGCCUGGUGUGAGUCUACGGCAGUAACCUAGGAGACCAGCUGGACUGUAAGAUCAAUGCCAUCCUGCAGACCCAGGCCCUCUGUGGGCAGAGCCCUCCUCAGCGCCCAGCCAGGGAAGACCCUCACACUGGUGGCAUCGGGCUCAUCACCAGGUAGCCUUAUUGGUGUAAUCUAUAUUUUAACCAGACAUGGAUCAUUUUAUUGUAUUUCAUGUAUAGAGUUUGGCACAGUCUGAAAAUGACCUGGGGUUUAUCAGUGGUCUGGGGUGAGAGAACUGUCUACAGUAU